rnacentral:lncRNA from 1 species
UCGUGAAUUUUGUCAGUUUUGUGAUAUCCUGUUUCGCCUUCACUCCUGCAAAUGUGUUAUCUGGAAUACAAGAAAUUAUAUUUACCAUUUUAAAGGUCUCCCAGAAUUGAGUGUGCAGUAGCAGAAACUGCCCAUCCCACUAUAACGUAAAAAAGUGUUCUUACAGGUAAUUUACAUCCUAAUAAAGGGGACGUACACAACCCGAACUGACUCUAAAGCAGUUAGUAUGGUGAGAGUAUUGGGACGCUUGUGCAAACUUAAACACAGAGAGUGAAACCAAACAUUAAAGAAGAGUAUCCAUCUACCCAACUCAGACCUGCGUGAACUAUCCACUGGUAAAGUGGGAACUGUUUAAAUGGGGAAGACAGGAGAGAUCGAAACGUAUGCAAAUCAAUGCAAAAAUAGAUCUUAGCUCAGUUGUGACUUGGUGCCUCUUAAAUGAAUGGAAGAGUUGAAAAACUGCCUCUUCACCUGAAGAAAUUAGCUAUUUUAUCAGCAAUACUGCUUUGGAAAGUUUUGUGUAUACUGUUUUAUAACAAAGCCAGGGGCCGUCUGCAAGUUCCGGCUGUUUUUCAGUUUAUUUCCUGACCAGUUAAACUUACC